UGUUCACAAUAUUUUUUAUAUUUGUUUUUAUUUUGAUUCGUAUUUAUAUGUUUUUCAUUCUCAAAUCAUUGUUGGCCUGAGAAUUAAAGAUCUGAUCGUGUUUUGGCAAUAUUCCUGACAAAAACCUCUUUACGGAUGAUUUUGAUUAAAUAAUAUUCUGAGAUCUAAUAAGCUGUUUAAAUUUAGGACCUAGCCAUUUUGCUUAGUGGCGUAAUGGCCCAAACAAGGGCCGUUUCCAUUCCCCUUUGUCCCAUUUCUAGGUUAGAAAGUUCUUUGUGACUAAUUAUGUGCAGUUUUUCACUUUUUGUUAAUAUAAGUAAAAACAGCACCAUUUUUCUGAUCAAUAUUUAUCUAUUUGCCCACCACGUGAUGGAAUCAAACAUGUUAUGCAUGUACCUACAUGCCUUUAUACAUAAAUGCUUGUCAUUUUUCUUUUUUACUUUUUCUGCUCACCAAGCGUCAAGAUGCAAUUAAACUAAUACCUGCUAUACCAACAGUUACCACAGCACCAUGCGCAGUUGAGCAAUUGAACUAGUGGCCAGGUAAGCCAUCACAGUGUCUGGUCAGAUGUUUUCAUCCAGACCUUAGUUCCUGUGAUGGCAAAUUAAAAUGGUGUUUUCCCCUGUAUUUCUUCCAUCUGGGAUACACCAUGCCAUACACCACAUUGAGAUUCCACCUAUCUCAGAGAACCCGAUCGCGGCUCUCUCUGCGCAUGCGCGAAGUACGCGCAUGCGCGGUGUAUGUUUCCUGGCCAGCCGGAUGACUGUCAAUCAUUCUGACGUCAUCCGCGCGGGGUAUUUAAAUCCAGCAAGAGCCUGACACAUUCAGGUGCCUUUGCUGAGUGUUAACCAGGACGGAUGUCCAGCGUGGCUGCACGCCGUUGCAUCCUUUGAGAUUCUUCUAUGUUCUAGCACAGUUACAGCAUAAUCCUCAUCACAGCCGCAGCGCCAUCUAGUGGCAGUUUUUGAGUUAACCCUCAUUCCAGUCUCCAAAUUUAUGUUCCAGCUAAGUUAGGAGAGGACCCUUGCGGACACUUUGCCAUCUAUUGUCCUCACAUUGCCUCUACCAUUGUGCGUUUUUUGAUCCUUUGAACUGUUCCAUUUACGCCCAGGUUUUCAUACUUUCCCAAGAUACCCCAACUAGUUCUAAUUUGCCCAAUGGUGCAUGACGAAUGUGGGUAUAACCUAUAGUACCAGACUCCACCUCAUAAGGUAAAGGGUCUGAUUACAAGUUGCAUCUUGGACGCUGUUGAGCAUUCUUCAAAUCUACCAAAGCACCGUUUAUCGAAGCUCCCGAAGAAGCGACGACGUCGCGAAACAUGUCGAGCUGAACCCCAUUUUAACCAGAACUCAUCCUGUACCACCUUUUCGAAGCUAC